rnacentral:rRNA from 1 species
GACGAGGCACUACGGUGCUGAAGCAACAAAUGCCCUGCUUCCAGGAAAAGCCUCUAAGCAUCAGGUAACAUCAAAUCGUACCCCAAACCGACACAGGUGGUCAGGUAGAGAAUACCAAGGCGCUUGAGAGAACUCGGGUGAAGGAACUAGGCAAAAUGGUGCCGUAACUUCGGGAGAAGGCACGCUGACACGUAGGUGAAGUGAUUUACUCAUGGAGCUGAAGUCAGUCGAAGAUACCAGCUGGCUGCAACUGUUUAUUAAAAACACAGCACUGUGCAAACACGAAAGUGGACGUAUACGGUGUGACGCCUGCCCGGUGCCGGAAGGUUAAUUGAUGGGGUCAGCGCAAGCGAAGCUCCUGAUCGAAGCCCCGGUAAACGGCGGCCGUAACUAUAACGGUCCUAAGGUAGCGAAAUUCCUUGUCGGGUAAGUUCCGACCUGCACGAAUGGCGUAAUGAUGGCCAGGCUGUCUCCACCCGAGACUCAGUGAAAUUGAACUCGCUGUGAAGAUGCAGUGUACCCGCGGCAAGACGGAAAGACCCCGUGAACCUUUACUAUAGCUUGACACUGAACAUUGAGCCUUGAUGUGUAGGAUAGGUGGGAGGCUUUGAAGCGUGGACGCCAGUCUGCGUGGAGCCGACCUUGAAAUACCACCCUUUAAUGUUUGAUGUUCUAACGUGGACCCGUAAUCCCGGGUUGCGGACAGUGUCUGGUGGGUAGUUUGACUGGGGCGGUCUCCUCCUAAAGAGUAACGGAGGAGCACGAAGGUUGGCUAAUCCUGGUCGGACAUCAGGAGGUUAGUGCAAUGGCAUAAGCCAGCUUGACUGCGAGCGUGACGGCGCGAGCAGGUGCGAAAGCAGGUCAUAGUGAUCCGGUGGUUCUGAAUGGAAGGGCCAUCGCUCAACGGAUAAAAGGUACUCCGGGGAUAACAGGCUGAUACCGCCCAAGAGUUCAUAUCGACGGCGGUGUUUGGCACCUCGAUGUCGGCUCAUCACAUCCUGGGGCUGAAGUAGGUCCCAAGGGUAUGGCUGUUCGCCAUUUAAAGUGGUACGCGAGCUGGGUUUAGAACGUCGUGAGACAGUUCGGUCCCUAUCUGCCGUGGGCGCUGGAGAACUGAGGGGGGCUGCUCCUAGUACGAGAGGACCGGAGUGGACGCAUCACUGGUGUUCGGGUUGUCAUGCCAAUGGCACUGCCCGGUAGCUAAAUGCGGAAGAGAUAAGUGCUGAAAGCAUCUAAGCACGAAACUUGCCCCGAGAUGAGUUCUCCCUGAGACUUAGAGUCUCCUGAAGGAACGUUGAAGACGACGACGUUGAUAGGCCGGGUGUGUAAGCGCAGCGAUGCGUUGAGCUAACCGGUACUAAUGAACCGUGAGGCUUAACCUU